rnacentral:rRNA from 1 species
GCUCAGAUUGAACGCUGGCGGCAGGCCUAACACAUGCAAGUCGAGCGGUAGCACAGAGAGCUUGCUCUCGGGUGACGAGCGGCGGACGGGUGAGUAAUGUCUGGGAAACUGCCUGAUGGAGGGGGAUAACUACUGGAAACGGUAGCUAAUACCGCAUAACGUCGCAAGACCAAAGUGGGGGACCUUCGGGCCUCAUGCCAUCAGAUGUGCCCAGAUGGGAUUAGCUAGUAGGUGGGGUAAUGGCUCACCUAGGCGACGAUCCCUAGCUGGUCUGAGAGGAUGACCAGCCACACUGGAACUGAGACACGGUCCAGACUCCUACGGGAGGCAGCAGUGGGGAAUAUUGCACAAUGGGCGCAAGCCUGAUGCAGCCAUGCCGCGUGUAUGAAGAAGGCCUUCGGGUUGUAAAGUACUUUCAGCGAGGAGGAAGGCAUUAAGGUUAAUAACCUUGGUGAUUGACGUUACUCGCAGAAGAAGCACCGGCUAACUCCGUGCCAGCAGCCGCGGUAAUACGGAGGGUGCAAGCGUUAAUCGGAAUUACUGGGCGUAAAGCGCACGCAGGCGGUCUGUCAAGUCGGAUGUGAAAUCCCCGGGCUCAACCUGGGAACUGCAUUCGAAACUGGCAGGCUAGAGUCUUGUAGAGGGGGGUAGAAUUCCAGGUGUAGCGGUGAAAUGCGUAGAGAUCUGGAGGAAUACCGGUGGCGAAGGCGGCCCCCUGGACAAAGACUGACGCUCAGGUGCGAAAGCGUGGGGAGCAAACAGGAUUAGAUACCCUGGUAGUCCACGCCGUAAACGAUGUCGACUUGGAGGUUGUGCCCUUGAGGCGUGGCUUCCGGAGCUAACGCGUUAAGUCGACCGCCUGGGGAGUACGGCCGCAAGGUUAAAACUCAAAUGAAUUGACGGGGGCCCGCACAAGCGGUGGAGCAUGUGGUUUAAUUCGAUGCAACGCGAAGAACCUUACCUACUCUUGACAUCCAGAGAACUUAGCAGAGAUGCUUUGGUGCCUUCGGGAACUCUGAGACAGGUGCUGCAUGGCUGUCGUCAGCUCGUGUUGUGAAAUGUUGGGUUAAGUCCCGCAACGAGCGCAACCCUUAUCCUUUGUUGCCAGCGGUCCGGCCGGGAACUCAAAGGAGACUGCCAGUGAUAAACUGGAGGAAGGUGGGGAUGACGUCAAGUCAUCAUGGCCCUUACGAGUAGGGCUACACACGUGCUACAAUGGCAUAUACAAAGAGAAGCGACCUCGCGAGAGCAAGCGGACCUCAUAAAGUAUGUCGUAGUCCGGAUUGGAGUCUGCAACUCGACUCCAUGAAGUCGGAAUCGCUAGUAAUCGUAGAUCAGAAUGCUACGGUGAAUACGUUCCCGGGCCUUGUACACACCGCCCGUCACACCAUGGGAGUGGGUUGCAAAAGAAGUAGGUAGCUUAACCUUCGGGAGGGCGCUUACCACUUUGUGAUUCAUGACUGGGGUGAA